rnacentral:rRNA from 1 species
UACUGACGCUAAAGCUCGAAGGUGCGGGUAUCGAACAGGAUUAGAUACCCUGGUAGUCCGCACGGUAAACGAUGGAUGCCCGCUGUUGGCGAUACAUUGUCAGCGGCCAAGCGAAAGCGUUAAGCAUCCCACCUGGGGAGUACGCCGGCAACGGUGAAACUCAAAGGAAUUGACGGGGGCCCGCACAAGCGGAGGAACAUGUGGUUUAAUUCGAUGAUACGCGAGGAACCUUACCCGGGCUUGAACUGCCAGCGAACGAUACAGAGAUGUUGAGGCCCUUCGGGGCGCUGGUGGAGGUGCUGCAUGGUUGUCGUCAGCUCGUGCCGUGAGGUGUCGGCUUAAGUGCCAUAACGAGCGCAACCCCUUUCUUCAGUUGCCAUCAGGCAAUGCUGGGCACUCUGGAGACACUGCCGCCGUAAGGUGUGAGGAAGGUGGGGAUGACGUCAAAUCAGCACGGCCCUUACGUCCGAGGCUACACACGUGUUACAAUGGGUGGUACAGAGAGCCGGCCGUCCGCAAGUGCGGUCCAAUCAGGAAAGCCAUCCUCAGUUCGGAUUGGGGUCUGCAACCCGACCCCAUGAAGCUGGAUCGCUAGUAAUCG